rnacentral:tRNA from 1 species
GGUUGUGGCUCAGAGGUAGAGCGCUAGCCUAUCAUGCAUGAGGCACGGGGUUCGAUCCUCAGCACCA